UAAGGAAUAUUGGACAAUGGUCGCAAGACUGAUCCAGCCAUGCCGCGUGCAGGAAGACGGCCCUAUGGGUUGUAAACUGCUUUUGUACCAGAGAAAACCUAUCUACGUGUAGAUAGCUGAUAGUAUGGUAAGAAUAAGCAUCGGCUAACUUCGUGCCAGCAGCCGCGGUAAGACGAAGGAUGCAAGCGUUAUCCGGAUUCAUUGGGUUUAAAGGGUGCGUAGGCGGGCUUGUAAGUCAGUGGUGAAAUCUCUCAGCUUAACUGAGAAACUGCCAUUGNUACUGCAGGCCUAGAGUAUAGAUGACGUUGGCGGAAUAUGACAUGUAGUGGUGAAAUACUUAGAUAUGUCAUAGAACACCGAUUGCGAAGGCAGCUAACGAAACUAUAACUGACGCUGAGGCACGAAAGUGCGGGGAUCAAACA
rnacentral:rRNA from 1 species